rnacentral:lncRNA from 1 species
GCCUAGUUUCUUGCCAAGAGUGUAAUGUUCUCUUAAUCUUGGUGUUUGGUAAGGGAGGACAUUAGGAGAUGGCUUUGCUGAUGAAGCUAUAGGAGGUCUCUUCUUUGCUGCAGCUUGUGCCAUUGUUUUUCUUAGAACAAUUUUGUUUUGUGUUUUGUUUUUUUACCUUGAAAAUAUGUUUUGCUGAUGAAACUAUAGGAGGUCUCUUCUUUGCUGCAGCUUGUGCCAUUGUUUUUCUUAGAACAAUUUUGUUUUGUGUUUUGUUUUUUUACCUUGAAAAUAUGGUUGUUGUUUCUUGAUUUUGGAGAUACUGAGGAAAAUUCUCAGCUUCUGUUUUUCGUUUCCAUAUGUUAGAUUGUCAUUUGGGGGAGAUUAACAGUUUUCUUGAUCUAUGGUCAGGGUUUCCUGGCGGGAAAUGUGGUGUAAGUUGACUUGGUGUUGUUUCAACGACAAAGUUGAGUGGGAUUUGGAAAUGGAAAGGAGACACGUCCAACAUCAAUCAAUUAUAUUUAUAUUUUUCUUGAAUUUCACUUAUUUGCAC